UAAUUUUAUACAUUGUUUAUAUUUUUUACGUAUAUUUAAUAUAUUUAAGUACAAUUUGCGGAUUUUAGAAAUGAAUAUGUAAUUAAAAUAUAAUUAUUUUAUCUCAUUUUGAAUACUUUAAUGACUUACGAAAUCAAAAUGUAUUUUCGAAUUUUACGUUAAAACGAAUUCGAAUUACGAAAAUCGAUUAAAUUUAGAAAACGAUCCUAUCCGAUUUUGGAUUCGAAUCCUAAAACUAAAUUCCUAAGUCUAGCCCAAUUGAAUAAAGCCCAAUAUUAUAAACCCAUAACCCCAUACUUCUACUCCAUGUAAAACACAAAACACAAAACACCAAACCCCUCUAUUCCUACUUCACGUAAAAACCAAAAAGGGCAAAACCCAUCUCUCUCCUUUCCUGCUUCCUCUUCCUCCCUCUGCCCAGCCGCCGACCACCACGAGCACGCCACCAAGGCCGCCAGACCACCUCGCCGCCACGUCGCUGACCACCAGCUCUCACCACCACCUUGCUCGCGCAGCCCCCGCGUCGCCACCCAGCCUGCGCCGCCGCUGCCUUGUCCCUGCUCGCCGCCACCGCAAGUAGCACCACCGUGUGCCGCCGUCUCUCAGCCCUGCCGCAAGCCACCUCUGUCCGCCAGCCAACUCUCUCUCCUCCUUCUUGAAUUGGCGGAGAAUUCUCUUUAGGCGACUUUUGAAAGUGUUAAAGUGGCCUAUCAGUUUGUUUACACAAGUCUCUAAGGAUCAAUAAGCGUUGCCCAUCUACAGGUUUGAAGAUGAUGCAUCAUUGGGAUCGGGAUUAGAGAGCUUGUAGUUCUAUUCGUUUAAUUAAGUGAUUUAAUUUGUUAACUUGGAUUUGAAAUUUGUCGUACUAUUCGUAUUUCCUUAAUUCAGUUAAUUGGUUUGGACCUAAUAUGUAAUAGAUUAUUUAUGAACCUAAAAGUUAGUUUUAUGUUUUCCGCUGCAAAA